GGUGCCCAAAAUUGCACAGCUUAUUCAAUAUGGGGUCUUACCAGUGAUUUAUAAAGAGGCAAAAUUAUAUUCUUGUCUCGAGAAUGAAUGCCCUUUUUCAUGCAUGACAAUACCUUACUGGCCUUGGCCACUGCUGAUUGACAUUGCACAUUGUUGCAUAGUUUGUUGUCUAUAACAAUUCCCAAGUCCUUUUCAUGUGUUGUUAUCCCCAAUUCGCUUCCAUUAAGGGUAUACGUUGCUUGUGUAUUCUUUAUGCCGAAGUGCAUAACUUUGCAUUUUUCAACAUUAAAUUUCAUCUGCCAUUUGAGUGCCCAAUCCCCCAGUCUAUUUAAAUCCCUCUGCAGCAAAGUAAUAUCUUGCUCACAUUGUAUUGUUUUACAAAGUUUGGUGUCAUCUGCAAACACUGAAACAUGUAUGUGAAUGUAUGUGAAUUCAGAUUACAGGGUGUAAUUGUUGUGUGUGAAUACAUUUUGCAUUGGCACAGAACAUUCACACCCUGCACUCUGUAUUGUAAAGUUUGUGGAUCAAAAAGAGGGAAAAACUACUUUUAUCAACAGCAGUAUCUCUGUUGGCUAUUUUCUUGAGGCGGGCUCUCACCCUUCAGAUGCAGCUGAGUGUAAAUGUGUGUUUGUACACUCCCUAUAGGUUUUUUUGUUAUACGUUUAAGUCUGUAAAUUGAUACUGUAGGCAUCAAAACAAUCCUGGCUUAAUGAAGCUGUUUUGGUGAGUAGAUCAUGCCCCUACCAGUCUUUGCAGAGUAUUUGGAGUUGUAGUUCAAUGUGCAAUUCCAUGUACCAGAUCAUCCCACAUGCAUUCACACGCAACAUGUAAAAUUGUGUCUAGCACUGCCAUUACUGGAAAUGUUGUUAUAUAGUAUGUGAAAAUUUUGAACAGUGACCUCAACAAUUUCAAACAAGUAUAAUUGCUCCAUAAAAUUUAUGAAUGUAUUACAUUUU